CCUACGGGUGGCAGCAGUGAGGAAUAGUGGUCAAUGGACGCAAGUCUGAACCAGCCAUGCCGCGUGCAGGAAGACGGCUCUAUGAGUUGUAAACUGCUUUUGUACGAGGGAAAACGCAGAUACGCGUAUAUGUCUGAAAGUAUCGUACGAAUAAGGAUCGGCUAACUCCGUGCCAGCAGCCGCGGUAAUACGGAGGAUUCAAGCGUUAUCCGGAUUUAUGGGGUUUAAAGGGUGCGUAGGCGGGCGGAUAAGUUAGAGGGGAAAUCCCGAGGCUCAACUUCGGAAUUGCCUCUGAUACUGUUCGGCUUGAGCGUAGUUGCGGUAGGCGGACUGUCUUGUGUAGCGGUGA
rnacentral:rRNA from 1 species